CCGUCUUGAAACACGGACCAAGGAGUCUAGCAUGUGCGCGAGUCAUUGGGAACUAAUAAACCCAGAGGCGAAAUGAAAGUGAACAGCGUCGGUUUCGGCCGUCCGCAGGGAAGAUGGCGAGCGGCGCGCCCGCUCGUCCGCAUUCCCGAGGCGUUUCGAGAAAUGCCAUCGUUGCGAUUAUCGAGACGCACUGAGAGCGUACACGCUGGGACCCGAAAGAUGGUGAACUAUGCCUGGUCAGGUCGAAGUCAGGGAA
rnacentral:rRNA from 1 species